rnacentral:lncRNA from 1 species
AACUACUUAAUUCCAGAACAUUUACAUCACUUCAAAGAAACCCCAUACCCUAUAGCAGUCACUCCCAAUUCUCUUCUUCCACCCAUUCCCUGGAAACCACUAAUCUACUUUCCGUCUCUUUGGAUUUAACUACUCAGGACAUUUUAUAUUUCAAGUGAUUGAAGAUGUAAAAAUGCAACCAGGAGUAGCUCUGAGAAACACCAGGAUUAUCUAUCCACCCUUCUGAAGCUGAGCAGCAGAUUUAUGGAAUCAGAACAGGGAAUGGACUGGGUGCUUAACACCAAUUAGAGCUGCACAUCUGAAGAAGGGAAGAGAAAGAUCCAAAAAUCUCACAAGAUAGGAGGAGAGUGCAGAUCAGAACCCACCACCUUCUCUGACUCCAAAUGCAAUGCUCUUGGCUUGUCUGCGCACCACUUCUUCUCCAUCUCCAGGUCACUGCAUUUAAUUCUAUCCCAUCUGAGUAUGUGAAAUGGAAGCUUGUUUAGAAAAAUCUUUUUAUCUGCCACCUCCUGAAUCUUAAUUCGUCUUAGUGCCAAAAUGUAUAGUAAUCCACAAAGCUGAAGAAGGCUGCAUCAUGUUUGGGACUUGUUCCCCGCUCAUUUGGAUGGCUGGAUCAGAAACAACAGAAGAAAGAGUGCUUGUCUCUUGUGAGUUUGCCAACUGAGUAUUUGGAUUCAGAUGGAUCACACGCAACACAUCAAAUUGUUUUUAGCUCAGUAUCCAAACAUUUGAUUUUUUUAUCUACACUAAUUCCAAAUUUUAUAAAGUUGUUGAAAGUUGCUUGUGGAUAAGUUCAUACAUAUUUGAAAAAGACACAACCAAAAUACGUUUCUACUUGUCAGGUGGGACUGGGACAAAGGAAAAUAUGUUUGUAGAAUGAGGGUAAAUACUUCUUCCCUGGCAACAGAUUUUUAAAAAAGAAUUUAGAAAAGAUGUAAGUGAUGAUCUAUCAUGGAGAUGAAUAACAGAUUUUAGCAGACAGCUACUCUCUAGUGGAAAAUGUUAUGAAGAAUCCUGAAGCUAUACUCCUGCAAUGCAUGAGAGAGGGUCUCCAUAGAUUGAGGAUGUCUGUCAUGAACAUAGGAGGUAUCAGUGGCACACACAGAUCAGGCAUAAACCGCCUCUGAUCUGACCUAACGAAAUACUUUUCUAAUGACAGACAGGGACAGUGGCUAAACAGACUCUGUACUUAGGUACAGAGCCUAGGUUUCCUGACUUCACUUUCUUGACUUUCAUCAUUCUAGCACAACUUAAAACCUGGUAUCUUCCAGUUUGACAAAGAGAAGUCUCACCACAUACCAAGCAGUUUCUUCAAAUGUUUUGUUCUUUGAAACAAAAUCAAAACAAUCAGUAAAAUAAAGUUUCCUCCUAUUCCUGAAAAAAUGGUCCAGACAGGCUCAUAGACAUCAAUGCGGCCUUGUCACAACAUCUCAACUCUUAGCCACACUCACAAGAAGAACUUGUAGAUUCCUCAUAGAUGUUCUCAAGUUAGAAGGCAAAGCACAACCCUUUUUGACUUUUUCUAAUUGAUGCUUGUUUGCAGAAAGAGUAAACAAGGCCCAGAUUUUUAUUCAUCUGUGGGGCUGUGGGUAGCUAAUUUUUCUUUGAGCCUGCCAGGUUCUACAUUAUAUAAGGAAGACUUUUUAAAAGAGGAGCCCUGCAUUAAUUUAGAGAGAAACCAGUUAGACCAAACAUGCUUGUAACAUAUGGGAAGAGGCACAGAAGGCAUGAGUUGUUCCGGACAGAUGAGCAGAGGAGGGAGAGUGGGGGAGCAGAAUUCUCCUUUUGUGAUCCCUCCUGCUGAUCUCACCCAAACAAACUCGUCUUAGAACUUCAGAGCCACAACUGGACAGAAAGCUACCCAUUCUCUCUGCCUCCCACAGUCUCAC